rnacentral:rRNA from 1 species
AUUGAACGCUGGCGGCAUGCCUUACACAUGCAAGUCGAACGGCAGCACGGGUGCUUGCCCCUGGUGGCGAGUGGCGAACGGGUGAGUAAUACAUCGGAACAUGUCCUGUAGUGGGGGAUAGCCCGGCGAAAGCCGGAUUAAUACCGCAUACGAUCCACGGAUGAAAGCGGGGGACCUUCGGGCCUCGCGCUAUAGGGUUGGCCGAUGGCUGAUUAGCUAGUUGGUGGGGUAAAGGCCUACCAAGGCGACGAUCAGUAGCUGGUCUGAGAGGACGACCAGCCACACUGGGACUGAGACACGGCCCAGACUCCUACGGGAGGCAGCAGUGGGGAAUUUUGGACAAUGGGCGAAAGCCUGAUCCAGCAAUGCCGCGUGUGUGAAGAAGGCCUUCGGGUUGUAAAGCACUUUUGUCCGGAAAGAAAUCCUUGACUCUAAUACAGUCGGGGGAUGACGGGACCGGAAGAAUAAGCACCGGCGAACUACGU